UACGAAGGGGGCUAGCGUUGCUCGGAAUCACUGGGCGUAAAGCGCACGUAGGCGGACUGUCACGUCUGCUGUGAAAAGCUGGGGCUUAACCCUGGCCUUGCAGUGGAUACGGGCAGACUAGAGGUAGGUAGGGGAGAAUGGAAUUCCCGGUGUAGCGGUGAAAUGCGCAGAUAUCGGGAGGAACACCGGUGGCGAAGGCGGUUCUCUGGGCCUUACCUGACGCUGAGGAGCGAAAGCGUGGGGAGCGAACAGG
rnacentral:rRNA from 1 species